rnacentral:snoRNA from 1 species
UGGAGUCAAAGUGGCACUUUUCGGAAUACCCUUCUGAUUUGUGUCUCAAAAACUCCCAGAAAAACUAGUGAGACGAACGGCAUCCUGAAUAGUUCCUUGUAUUAUAUCAGAUGACUUGUGUUCGCCGACAU